rnacentral:rRNA from 1 species
ACGAAGGGGGCUAGCGUUGUUCGGAAUCACUGGGCGUAAAGCGCACGUAGGCGGAUUUGCCAGUCAGGGGUGAAAUCCCGGGGCUCAACCUCGGAACUGCCCUUGAUACAGCAAAUCUCGAGUCCGGAAGAGGUGAGUGGAAUUCCUAGUGUAGAGGUGAAAUUCGUAGAUAUUAGGAAGAACACCAGUGGCGAAGGCGGCUCACUGGUCCGGCACUGACGCUGAGGUGCGAAAGCGUGGGGAGCAAACAG